CGCUGCGCAGCGGGAGAGCGCCGGACCGCAACUCGGAUCUGGCCGCCGAAGGAGCAACACCUCUCCGUCAAUCUCUCAGGCACCCCGGACCGUUGCGUUGAC
rnacentral:ncRNA from 2 species